rnacentral:lncRNA from 1 species
CUGGAGAUGACAGUGAACAGGGUAGGCUAACAGUGAAUUCUGUGGAAUCACACUAAAAUAUUUCCUAUAACAGGGUAAUGGUUUGAAAUUCUGAUGGUUUCCUGUUUUUUCUUUCUCAUCACCAAGUCAAACAAGAGUAAAAUGCCAUCUGUGCUACUCUUGGGGAAAAGAUAACUUGGUGAAUUUCACUUUCAAAAUAGACUUUUUAAAAUCCAGAGUACAAAAACUGUCACACACUUACUAUAAAAUUCACUUAGUGAAAAGAUUAAGUCUUUUCUUUAACUCUGAAAGUUAACCCUUGAUUAUCAAUGAGUCAAACUUACAAAGCUUGACUUUUUACCAUAAGCCAUCAAGUAGCUGGGACAUAAGAUGUGGGAGGAGCAUAUUCUGUUAUGUAGGACAGACAAAUACCUUCCUGCACUGCGGAAAAACUCAGGAAAAAUCAAAGAUAAGAAACAGGUAUCUGGAUCUCAUAGACAGCCCCACCCCUAAUACUCACCAUGGGGUUGACUGGUGGGGAUGAAAGAGGGUGAUCACAGGGAAGUAGACAAUGGAUCAUCCAGAUGGACUGGAGGAUCUGAGGGCAAAAUGGAGUUAUGCUUAGCUUCCUGCCCAGACUCUGGGGAGUAAAUUCCUGUUGCAUGUUCCUUGCCAACAUAUGACAGUGAAGAGAGCAUGGAAAUGGUAGGAAGACAGGAACUAUCCAGAGAGUGGCUGCCCUCAACUCUGAGCAUACAUCCCUUAUGUGAUACAUAGAAGUCAGGUGCCCUGGCUGGGCAUCUGAAAAAGAUAUGAAGAGAUUUGGUACCUCACAACAACAAAGGACAGCCAUUAUAGGGAAAUGAAGCUAGGCACCAAAUGGCACCCUCCAGUUAAACCCAUAGAAUCUAAAAGUGAUGUACCUGUAUCUUGUGGCCUAUAUGUACAGUGCUGGGCAAACCUUUUUAUCCUAGGACCUCUUCAAACUCUUAACAAGUAUUGGGGACCCCAGCAAGACUUUUCUUGUGUGGCACAUAUCUAUAUACAUUUACUACAUUUGAAAUUAAUGUUGAGGGUGUAGCUCAGUGAUACAGCACUUGCCUAACACAUGUACAACCCCGGAUUCCAUCCCUAGCCUUGCCAAAAAUAAAAGAUAUUUAUUAAUACAUAGGAGAAAUUAGUUUGGUUUUAUAUUACACAAAAAAUGAUUGUAGUCGAUGCUAUUGUAUCACAUACUUCAAAAUAGCUAGAAUAGAGGCUUCUGAAUGUUUUCAUCGUAAAGAAAUGAGAAAUAUUUGAGAUGAUAAUCUAAAUAUCUUUUGAUCAAUACACAAUGUAUAUGUGUACUGAAAUAUCACACUGUACCCUGUAAAGAUGUAUAAUCAUGCUGUCAAUAAAAG